CUGUUCUUCCUCGAAUCCUGCUGGAGAAUUGUUUUGUGUUGUGAACUCACCCAUGUUGAUAAGGUCUGUAUAAUGUUGACAUGCAGUUCGUAUUGCGUGGUGUGAACAUAUGAGAAUACCUAUGUAUGUUAAUCAAAGGGGAUGUUGCUACUGAGAAAUAUGAGAAUAGAAAAACUUAAAUUUCCAAUUUUGUCUAAGAUACUGAAGCCGGCUAUGUAUAUUGAUUUCAAGAUAUCUAAACAUGAAGCAAUCUAUAUUAUCCUUAUUGUCAGGCUCACUAAGAUAUAUAAGAUGCACUGGUUGAAAUGUGUUGAAAUGACGAUUGCAACGUGUGAAGCAGGAAC
rnacentral:lncRNA from 1 species